GUCCUAGCUGUAAACGAUGCACAUUAGACGUGAGGGGUAUCGACCCCCUUCGUGUCGACGCAAACGCAUUAAAUGUGCCGCCUGGGGAGUACGGCCGCAAGGUUGAAACUCAAAGGAAUUGACGGGGGCCCGCACAAGCGGUGGAGCAUGUGGUUUUUCAAUUCGACGCAACGCGAACAACCUUACCUGGGCUUGAACUGUAGGAAGUAGAAUUGAUGAAAAUCGAGACGACCUGUAAAGUCAGGAGCCUAUAGAGGUGCUGCAUGGCUGUCGU
rnacentral:rRNA from 1 species